rnacentral:rRNA from 1 species
UUGUCCUACGGGGGGCAGCAGUCGGGAAUAUUGCACAAUGGAGGAAACUCUGAUGCAGUGACACCGCGUAUAGGAAGAAGGUUUUCGGAUUGUAAACUAUUUUAGACAGGGAAGAAAAAAGACAGUACCUGUAGAAUAAGCUCCGGCUAACUACGUGCCAGCAGCCGCGGUAAUACGUAGGGAGCAAGCGUUAUCCGGAAUUACUGGGCGUAAAGCGCUCGUAGGCGGUAUGUCAAGUCAAGGGUGAAAUCCCCGCUCUCAACGUGGGAACUGCCUUUGAAACUGGCAAACUGGAGUGUGUGAGG